AGGGAAUCUUCCACAAUGGCCGAAAGUCUGAUGGAGCAACGCCGCGUGAGUGAAGAAGGUUUUCGGAUCGUAAAACUCUGUUGUAAGGGAAGAACACGUACGAGAGUAACUGCUCGUACCUUGACGGUACCUUAUUAGAAAGCCACGGCUAACUACGUGCCAGCAGCCGCGGUAAUACGUAGGUGGCAAGCGUUGUCCGGAAUUAUUGGGCGUAAAGCGCGCGCAGGCGGUUCUUUAAGUCUGAUGUGAAAGCCCACGGCUCAACCGUUGAGGGUCAUUGGAAACUGGAGAACUUGAGUACAGAAGAGGAAAGCGGAAUUUCACGUGUAGCGGUGAAAUGCGUAGAGAUGUGGAGGAACACCAGUGGCGAAGGCGGCUUUCUGGUCUGUAACUGACGCUGAGGCGCGAAAGCGUGGGGAGCAAA
rnacentral:rRNA from 1 species